GAUGAACGCUGGCGGCGUGCUUAACACAUGCAAGUCGAACGAUGAAGCCCAGCUUGCUGGGUGGAUUAGUGGCGAACGGGUGAGUAACACGUGAGUAACCUGCCCUUAACUCUGGGAUAAGCCUGGGAAACUGGGUCUAAUACCGGAUAGGAGCGUCCACCGCAUGGUGGGUGUUGGAAAGAUUUAUCGGUUGUGGAUGGACUCGCGGCCUAUCAGCUUGUUGGUGAGGUAAUGGCUCACCAAGGCGACGACGGGUAGCCGGCCUGAGAGGGUGACCGGCCACACUGGGACUGAGACACGGCCCAGACUCCUACGGGAGGCAGCAGUGGGGAAUAUUGCACAAUGGGCGCAAGCCUGAUGCAGCGACGCCGCGUGAGGGAUGACGGCCUUCGGGUUGUAAACCUCUUUCAGUAGGGAAGAAGCGAAAGUGACGGUACCUGCAGAAGAAGCACCGGCUAACUACGUG
rnacentral:rRNA from 1 species